GGUAGCAUCGAAACAACGUGGUACAAAAAUUUCAUUUUCUUUCACAUCAAAAUCAGCUGUGAACAUCAGUAUGGCCGCUCCAUUAUCUAAAAAAUAAAAUUGUUUUUGUAAAAUCAUACAAAAAAAACAGUAAAGUGCAGUUUUCGUACUUACACCGUCUAAUUGUACAUUUGCGAAUAGUGUUGAUGUUGACUAAAAGUGUUGCGUCAUGACAGAGACCUCUCACUGACAAACAAAUACAAUAAAAAUUGCGACUCGCUUAUUACGGCGACUUAUUGUAAUUUCUAUUUGGCUCGUGUAACGUUUCUGUCGUUUGGUUGAGGGCUGAUGUUAUUACUGAAUCGUCGUCGAAGUUUAUAUAAUGAGUAGUGUUAGAUUGAGUUUCGUAUCCGUGGGAAGGAUAGCAGUGAGAAGAAAUUCACAAAUAUCAGGAGUACAACAAUGUCGUACACUCCGACGGUCGUGCCCUCGAGGGUUCAGCACGUGCUCAGUGAUGUGCAAGAGCCCCACUGAACAGCCGCCCGGCCCGCCGCAUCCACACCCGCCUAAAGAUGCCGCUGGUGCUGCAGGCACUACAUCAGGUGGCAAGAAGUCAGGGUCCGGCAGUGGGGUCCUCACGUGCCCCAAGUGCGGGGACCCGUGCACCCACGUGGAAACCUUCGUCAGCUCCACGCGUUUCGUCAAGUGCGAUAAAUGCCACCACUUCUUCGUGGUGCUAAGCGAAGUGGACACCAAGAAGAGCAUCAAGGAUAAUGCGGAUAAUAAGUCUGGAUUCUACAGAAAACCUCCGCCGCCUCCGAAGAAGAUCUUCGAAUACUUGAACAAGCACGUGGUGGGUCAGGAAUACGCGAAGAAGGUGCUGUCGGUGGCAGUGUACAACCACUACAAGAGGAUCUACAACAAUGUCACCAGCGGCACGCCCACAGACGCACACCAUCCCUUACAUCACACACACAGAGAUCUCCUUCACCUAAGUCACGGCAACAACAGUGGCGGCGCCGAGGUGCUUGAGCGACAGCAUCACGAGCUGAGGCUCGAUAAGAGCAAUGUGCUGCUGCUUGGUCCCACUGGAUGCGGUAAAACUCUCCUAGCGCAAACGAUAGCGCAGUGCCUGGACGUGCCGUUCGCGAUCUGCGACUGCACCACGCUCACGCAGGCCGGCUACGUCGGCGAGGAUAUCGAGAGCGUCAUCGCUAAGCUGCUGCAGGAUGCUAACUUUAACGUUGAGCGAGCACAGACAGGCAUCGUGUUCCUAGACGAGGUGGACAAAAUCGGCGCCGUGCCCGGCAUACACCAGCUCAGGGAUGUCGGAGGCGAGGGAGUCCAACAAGGCAUGCUGAAGAUGCUGGAAGGCGCCGUGGUGUCGGUCCCCGAGCGCAACUCGCGCAAGCUGCGCGGCGACGCCGUGCAAGUCGACACCACCAAUAUAUUGUUUGUUGCCAGCGGCGCUUAUAAUGGUCUCGACAGACUAGUGCAACGUCGCAACAACGAGAAGUACCUCGGGUUCGGCGCGUGGGACCCGCGCUCCGGGCGCCGCGCGGCGCUGGCGGCGGCGGCCAGCGACGCGUCCCCGCUCGACUCCGCCCGCGCAGAGAACGACGAGCGCGACGCCUGGCUGCGCAAGGUGCAGGCCCGCGACCUCAUCGACUUCGGGAUGAUACCCGAGUUCGUGGGCAGAUUCCCCGUGCUAGUACCUUUCCAUAGUCUGAACCAAGAUCUGCUUGUACGGAUACUAACGGAACCUAAAAACGCUAUGGUAUCCCAGUACAAGCUGCUGUUCGCGAUGGACAAGUGCGAGCUGACGUUCAGCACGGAGGCGCUGGCCGCCGUCGCCGCCAUGGCCAUGGAGCGCAAGACCGGCGCCCGCGGCCUGCGGGCCAUCAUGGAAAACCUGCUCCUAGAAGUGAUGUUCGAGAUCCCCGGGUCGGACAUCUCGUCGGUGCACAUCCACGAGGGCUGCGUGUCGCGGUCGGAGCCGCCGCAGCUGUCGCGGCGCCGCGAGCAGCCCGACGCCCGCCCCGCGCCACACGACCUCGACGACUGGCCCUCGGUGCGCCUGCACAACUAAUGUUGUAACGACUGCUGUUUGGCCGAGAUCGCAAAAUGGCUGUUCUAUGUGAUUUAAGACUCAAAGCGUCAGUCUCGCAACCAUCUGUCACUCAUUCGUGCGUGCUGUGAGCGGAAACAAGUAUGGUGGACACAACCCAACAAUCUGCCCACGAUUCGACAGUAACGACCAACGCCCUCUACCUUCCCAACCGAGGUAACACUCGUUACUGACUUAAAAACCCCCCAAGAGGGAUAUAAGUGUUAAAAAAAUACAAAAUAGAAAAAAAAAACAUUGUUUUCGGUUUUUUUUUUGUGAAAUUGUGCUUCAUUGUGACGGCCGGGAGUCCUGUUUGUAAUAGUAUUCCUAACAUCAUUCCUGUAUGAGUUCGGUACCUAUUUUACGGAAAACACGGUUUUCUUGUGUUAAAACCACCCGUAAAGUUCGUACUUAUUAGGUUUGAAUGUAGUUGAUAUCUCGAUGUUACACACAAAUGUAGUUGUAAAUAAAAUAGAUAUAUUAGAAAAGCAUUUGAAUUCAGCCAAGUUCAAUUGUAUGUCUGUUUAAAGCGAUAGGUAAUGUUAGUUAAUUAGGACUCCUGAGUAGACAUGUUUCCAACUAGCAUUUCAUGAAAAAUUCAGUUUUGUUCAAAGUUUUCGACGAUUUACGUAAUAGUCUUUAUACUCUAAAUUCAAAAUCAUGGAUGAAUCAAUCCUCGUAUUUGUAGACUUCGGACCGUACGGUCUUAUUAUCAGUUCCUUACGUUAGUUUAUGUUGGAAAACAUUAACAUGUUGUAUCGGCCACCAUACAACAUACUCUUGUGAUGUAAAUUACUGUAAAUAGUAAUAAAUAAUAAUGAUAAAUAGAAAAAAAAAACUGUUAUUAUUAAGGUUUAUUAAAAAUAAAUAGGGUUCACUAUUGUACAUCCCAGAUAAGUUGUAAGUACGAAAAGUCACAGCAAAUGUUGUUAGUUGAAAAAUAGAUUCUUUUUAUUUCGGCCUGCAAUACUGAGAAGGAAUGACGUUUUGACAUUUUGUUAAUUGUUAUACAUAAUUAUUUUUUUAUUUAUAAAUGGAUCGUUGUGGUGUGAUUAUAAUAAGUGUGAAUAUUUUUUUGUUAAACAACCUCCAAAAAUAUGUGUCUAAUAUAAUUCUGGACUUGUGAUAGGAUAAAUUUUAUGGCAUGUUGAUAUAAUCACAUUGCAACUCGAGUAAAAUAGUAUAAGCCUAUUUUCAAUUUAAAAUAUAAAGAAAACCAAAUA